rnacentral:rRNA from 1 species
AUGAACGCUAGCGACAGGCCUAACACAUGCAAGUCGAGGGGCAGCAUUUUUGAAGCUUGCUUCAAAAGAUGGCGACCGGCGCACGGGUGAGUAACGCGUAUGGAACCAACCCGCAACAGGGGGAUAACCCGGAGAAAUCCGGACUAAUACCGCAUGGUACUCUUUGCACAGAAGUGUGAAGAUUUAAAGAUGCGAAUCGGUUGCGGACGGUCAUGCGUUCCAUUAGCUAGUUGGCGGGGUAACGGCCCACCAAGGCGACGAUGGAUAGGGGUUCUGAGAGGAAGGUCCCCCACACUGGUACUGAGACACGGACCAGACUCCUACGGGAGGCAGCAGUGAGGAAUAUUGGUCAAUGGGCGAGAGCCUGAACCAGCCAAGUCGCGUGAGGGAAGACGGCCCUAUGGGUUGUAAACCUCUUUUAGAUGGGAGUAAAGUGUUCUACGCGUAGGAUAUUGCAAGUACCAUCAGAAUAAGCAUCGGCUAAUUCCGUGCCAGCAGCCGCGGUAAUACGGAAGAUGCGAGCGUUAUCCGGAUUUAUUGGGUUUAAAGGGUGCGUAGGCGGGUGAUUAAGUCAGCGGUGAAAUGCGUCAGCUUAACUGGCGAACUGCCAUUGAAACUGGUUACCUUGAGUGUAGCGGAAGUAUGCGGAAUGCGUGGUGUAGCGGUGAAAUGCAUAGAUAUCACGCAGAACUCCGAUUGCGAAGGCAGCAUACCAUACUAUAACUGACGCUGAAGCACGAAAGCGUGGGUAUCGAACAGGAUUAGAUACCCUGGUAGUCCACGCAGUAAACGAUGAAUACUCACCGUUUGCGAUAUAAUGUAAGCGGUAAAGCGAAAGCGUUAAGUAUUCCACCUGGGGAGUACGCCGGCAACGGUGAAACUCAAAGGAAUUGACGGGGGCCCGCACAAGCGGAGGAACAUGUGGUUUAAUUCGAUGAUACGCGAGGAACCUUACCCGGGCUUAAAUUGCAGACGAAUUACGAGGAAACUUGUAAGCCGCAAGGCGUCUGUGAAGGUGCUGCAUGGUUGUCGUCAGCUCGUGCCGUGAGGUGUCGGCUUAAGUGCCAUAACGAGCGCAACCCUUAUUGAUAGUUACUAACAGGUAAAGCUGAGGACUCUAUCGAGACUGCCGGCGUAAGCCGCGAGGAAGGUGGGGAUGACGUCAAAUCAGCACGGCCCUUACGUCCGGGGCGACACACGUGUUACAAUGGCAGGGACAGAGAGCAGCCAGGCGGCGACGCCGCGCGAAUCUCCAAACCCUGUCUCAGUUCGGAUUGGAGUCUGCAACUCGACUCCAUGAAGCUGGAUUCGCUAGUAAUCGCGCAUCAGCCAUGGCGCGGUGAAUACGUUCCCGGGCCUUGUACACACCGCCCGUCAAGCCAUGGAAGCCGGGAGUACCUGAAGUAUGCAACCGCGAGGAGCGUCCUAGGGUAAAAUCGGUAACUGGGGCU